AUUUAAAGUGGUACGCGAGCUGGGUUUAGAACGUCGUGAGACAGUUCGGUCCCUAUCUGCCGUGGGCGCUGGAGAACUGAGGGGGGCUGCUCCUAGUACGAGAGGACCGGAGUGGACGCAUCACUGGUGUUCGGGUUGUCAUGCCAAUGGCACUGCCCGGUAGCUAAAUGCGGAAGAGAUAAGUGCUGAAAGCAUCUAAGCACGAAACUUGCCCCGAGAUGAGUUCUCCCUGAGACUUWRAGUCUCCUGAAGGAACGUUGAAGACGACGACGUUGAUAGGCCGGGUGUGUAAGCGCAGCGAUGCGUUGAGCUAACCGGUACUAAUGAACCGUGAGGCUUAACCUU
rnacentral:rRNA from 1 species